CAAACAAACAAAUGGCAGAUUAAUAUAAUUCACGCAUAGCAAAUAGUAAAACAACCCCAGAAAGACAUCACCAUUUGACAUUUUUAAUGUAACGAGAAGCUAAUAACAUUCAGAAGACCAUACAAGCCCCUUCAUGUAUUAUGCAAUUCAAAUACACUUCUACAGCGCUCUAUGCAUAGGCUUCCCUGCUGAUUUCGAGUACUGUAUACACAGAGUUACAUAACAGAACAUGGUUUGAAACUCACACUAGCCCUGCACUCAGCCCUGAGUUUCAGUUUAGUAUUUAUAUUAUUGAUGGUAAAUGUAUAUGGAAGGAACAAUUCAGCAUAGUGCAAAUGUAUUAGAACACCUCAAGAUUUGCCAUUUACAUCCUUUAUAUAGCUACCUGUAUGCAUGAACACCUAGAAACAACAGGCACUCGUGUAUGAACAUGUUAGACCACUUUGUGCUUUAAUUAGACAUCUUAAAUAACUUCUAAAUACCAAGUUGCAGGUGCUGUUCAGUGCAUGAUGUGUGUAAUCAUUACUGUCAGGUGAAACACGGACAUGCAACUCAUCACAACAGACCUGCCAGCAAUCUGAAAUAACUCAACCUCGCUUGGGGCGUUACAUUAUACCCUGAAGGAUCAAUGCAAUCUGAUGGGCUACUGUUUAUAAAAAAACCAAGUAAGUAAAUUUCAGCUGAAAGGCUGAAGGCACAAGCCAACAAGAUGGGUGGAAAUAAGACUUGCAUUGCAUUCACACCCUGAGCUUUUCAGACAGGUAGGUACUACA